rnacentral:rRNA from 1 species
CACGUAGGGCGCAAGCGUUGUCCGGAAUUAUUGGGCGUAAAGAGCUCGUAGGCGGACUGUCACGUCUGCUGUGAAAAGCUAGGGCUUAACCCUGGCCUUGCAGUGGAUACGGGCAGACUAGAGGUAGGUAGGGGAGAAUGGAAUUCCCGGUGUAGCGGUGAAAUUCGUAGAUAUCGGGAGGAACACCGGUGGCGAAGGCGGCGACCUGGGUAGAUACUGACGCUGAGGUGCGAAAGCGUGGGGAGCAACAGG